rnacentral:lncRNA from 1 species
AAAAUCAUAUAUAUGGCCAACUAAAAUUAAUUAGUAGAUUUUCAUCCAAAUUUUUGAAAAAAAUGGGGCGGGUGGGAGGAUUUUAUUUUUUAAAUUUUAUUUCAUAUGAAACCUUCUUGUCACGUGUUAUUCAUAUCGCAGUAUAAUAAUAAGCUUAUAUCAUGUAAAUACAUCCAUAAAGUAUUUUAUAUAAGACAAUAACAAUCAAAACCAAGGAGUCAUACACCAGAGACUCAUAAAACCAAAAGACAUUUACAUCAACAGUUACAAAUAAUAAGUAGGAAACAACAGGAACUCCACUAAAUUCCAGGAGUGAAAUCAAAUGCUCCUGAAGUGUAAGCAUUACCUGUACCAGUACCGUAUACGACACCCGUCAUAUUAUUUCUUUGUUCAGCUCGGUAAUGAUAGAAGGUUGUUACGACUGAGGAAGAAUAUCACAGAGAUAUAU